rnacentral:rRNA from 1 species
AGCGAACGCUGGCGGCAGGCUUAACACAUGCAAGUCGAGCGGGCAUCCUUGUGGUGUCAGCGGCAGACGGGUGAGUAACGCGUGGGAACGUGCCCUUCGGUUCGGAAUAACUCAGGGAAACUUGAGCUAAUACCGGAUACGUGCGAGAGCAGAAAGGUUUAUCUGCCGAAGGAUCGGCCCGCGUCUGAUUAGCUAGUUGGUGAGGUUACGGCUCACCAAGGCGACGAUCAGUAGCUGGUCUGAGAGGAUGAUCAGCCACACUGGGACUGAGACACGGCCCAGACUCCUACGGGAGGCAGCAGUGGGGAAUAUUGGACAAUGGGGGCAACCCUGAUCCAGCCAUGCCGCGUGAGUGAUGACGGCCUUAGGGUUGUAAAGCUCUUUUCUCCGGGACGAUAAUGACGGUACCGAAGGAAUAAGCCCCGGCUAACUUCGUG